GCUCAGGUGGUUAAUGCAAAUUGGCACAGCUACUAGGCUUAGACCCUAGACCCUUGUGGGUUCGACUCCCACCCUGAGUACCA
rnacentral:tRNA from 1 species